GAUAAUUUUAUCUUGGUUGAAAGGAGACGCCGAAGACGGCGCAGGAGCGGUACCAGGGCAUCAUCAGGAGGGAGGCACCAUACCCCACCUGUGGAGGAAAAUACUCGCACCGAACAGAAGCGUCGACCUCCAGCCAAACUAAAGAUAUUCGGCAUUCAAUGGCCGUUGCAUUCGAGUGAUUCGAGGCAUACGUCGAUAACUCGUCGUUUCUGUCGUGGUCGUCGUUCGCGAGAGGAUAACGAGCUCUAUCGCUCCAACAGCUUCAAGUUCGAGCGGUUCGCGCGGGAACAGCCAGCUGACGAGUUCAGCACCGGAUCACAGG
rnacentral:misc_RNA from 1 species